UAGGGAUUCUUCCGCAAUGGACGAAAGUCUGACGGAGCAACGCCGCGUGAGUGAAGAAGGAUUUUGGUUCGUAAAACUCUGUGGUUAGGGAAGAAAAAAUGUAUAGUAACUAUAUACAAAAGAGACGGUACCUAACCAGAAAGCCACGGCUAACUACGUGCCAGCAGUCGCGGUAAUACGUAGGUGGCAAGCGUUGUCCGGAAGUAUUGGGCGUAAAGCGCGCGCAGGUGGUUUAGAAAGUCUGAUGUGAAAGCCCACGGCUCAACCGUGGAGGGUCAUUGGAAACUAAUAAACUUGAGUGCAGGAGGGAAAAGUGGAAUUACUAGUGUAGCGGUGAAAUGCGUAGAGAUUAGGAGGAACACCGGUGGCGAAAGCGGCUUUUUGGCCUGCAACUGACACUGAGGCGCGAAAGCGUGGGGAGCAAACAGG
rnacentral:rRNA from 1 species